UACGGUCAUAUCACGUUGAAACAUCGGUUCCCGUAUGAUCGCCGAAGUUAAGCAACGUCGAUACUGGUCAGUACCUAGAUGGGCGACGGCUUGUAAG